rnacentral:rRNA from 1 species
GGGCCCGCACAAGCAGCGGAGCGUGUGGUUUAAUUCGAUGCUACGCGAAGAACCUUACCCGGGUUUGACAUACAGGUGGUAGGGAAUUGAAAGAGGACCGACCCUUCGGGGAGCCUGAACAGGUGCUGCAUGGCUGUCGUCAGCUCGUGUCGUGAGAUGUCCGGUUAAGUCCGGUAACGAGCGCAACCCCUGCCGUAUGUUACAAGUGUCAUACGGGACUGCCGGUAUCAAGCCGGAGGAAGGUGGGGAUGACGUCAAGUCAGCAUGGCCUUUAUGUCCGGGGCUACACACACGCUACAAUGGUCAGUACAAUAGGUUGCAAAGCCGCGAGGUGGAGCCAAUCCAUAAAGCUGGCCUCAGUUCAGAUUGCAGGCUGCAACUCGCCUGCAUGAAGUUGGAGUUGCUAGUAACCGCGCGUCAGCAUUAGUGCGGUGAAUACGUUCCCGGGCCUU